AUUGAACGCUGGCGGCAUGCCUUACACAUGCAAGUCGAACGGCAGCACGGGAGCAAUCCUGGUGGCGAGUGGCGAACGGGUGAGUAAUAUAUCGGAACGUGCCCAGUCGUGGGGGAUAACGUAGCGAAAGCUACGCUAAUACCGCAUACGAUCUAUGGAUGAAAGCGGGGGAUCGCAAGACCUCGCGCGAUUGGAGCGGCCGAUAUCAGAUUAGGUAGUUGGUGAGGUAAAGGCUCACCAAGCCGACGAUCUGUAGCUGGUCUGAGAGGACGACCAGCCACACUGGGACUGAGACACGGCCCAGACUCCUACGGGAGGCAGCAGUGGGGGAAUUUUUGGACAAUGGGCGCAAGCCUGAUCCAGCAAUGCCGCGUGCAGGAUGAAGGCCUUCGG
rnacentral:rRNA from 1 species